UUGAUCUUGCUUUUUUU
rnacentral:sRNA from 1 species